rnacentral:rRNA from 1 species
CCUACGGGUGGCAGCAGUGGGGAAUAUUGCACAAUGGGGGAAACCCUGAUGCAGCGACGCCGCGUGAGUGAAGAAGGUUUUCGGAUUGUAAAGCUCUGUUAGCAGGGAAGAGGAAGGACGGUACCUGCAGAGGAAGCCACGGCUAACUACGUGCCAGCAGCCGCGGUAAUACGUAGGUGGCAAGCGUUGUUCGGAAUAACUGGGCGUAAAGGAUGCGUAGGCGGUUAAACAAGUUAGAUGUUAAAUAUAUAGGCUUAACCUGUAGAAAGCAUAUAAAACUGUUUAACUAGAGUGCAGGAGAGGUAAGUGGAAUUCCUAGUGUAGCGGUGAAAGGCGUAGAGAUUAGGAAGAACACCAGUGGCGAAGGCGACUUACUGGACUGUGACUGACAUUGAUGCUCGAAAGUGUGGGUAUCAAACAGGAUUAGAUACCCGGGUAGUC